rnacentral:rRNA from 1 species
AUACCAGCGCCACAAGUGGCAACCGCUUUUAUUGGGCCUAAAGCGUCCGUAGCCGGUUUAGUAAAUUUCCUGUGAAAUCGUUGGGCUUAACCUAACGGCAUGCAGGAAAGACUACUAAACUAGAGACCGGGAGGCGUCAGAGGUAUUCCUGAGGGAGCGGUAAAAUGCUAUAAUCUCAGGAGGACCACCAGUGGCGAAGGCGUCUGACGAGAACGGAUCCGACGGUGAGGGACGAAAGCUAGGGGAGCAAACCGGAUUAGAUACCCGUGUAGUCC